rnacentral:tRNA from 1 species
AGGGUUAUAAUUUAUUUAAAAUAUUUUGCUUGCAACUAAAAAAAACUAUUGUUUACUCUA